ACUUGUGGCCGAACCUGUGGUCUAUGAAAAGUUGGAAAAUGCAGCUGCUAACCAGCAGCAACCUCACUUCUAUCAUCCACCGACAGGCUCCAGAGAAAAAAAAAGCAGUUGGAUAAUAAUAUCACUCCCAGCCAAAUCGAUUCAAACGUUCUCUCCUCUACUGUCAAAAAUUGAAUUCCACUCGUUUCUUCUCACCUAGCAGAUCCCUCCUCCCUCUCACACACAAAAAUUUGAGAUCACAAUCACUGCAAAAAGUUCUCUCCUCUACUGUCAAAAAUAAUUCUGUGUCUUCUCCGAAGAAGGAAGGUGGUUUUGGAGCUUGUAUUGGGAAAGGGUUGGAAAAAGUUUGCUCCUUUAACUGGGGUAGUAAGAGAGAUUAAUUUAAUACUUCUGCAGAGCAAAAUCUUCAUAUUUGUUUAUUUUCUGAGAAUGGACUCCAGCAUAGGAAAAAUAGAACACAGUUAUGAACCAGUAAGAAUUCAUACCAUGGUUGAAAUAUGGAAAUUCACUGGAUUCAUUUUUCCAUUUCAUUGCUGUGUAUUUUAUCUAUUGAAUGUCUAGUAACACAGAUUUUCUUGUUUACAUUUGGCAAGAUUCAUGAGUACAGUUUCUGUUUCUGAUGGGAAAGCUCUGAUAUUCUAUUUUAAUUUUACAAGAAACAUUUUGGUUUGAUCAUUGCUAGCUUUUUUCCCCCAUUGACUAGGUGGGUCUGAGCUUAAGGGAGGGGGGCCCUGCAUGCCACCCGAUAAUUCUUGUUGAGUUCGUGCGUCUCAGGAAAAUUGGCGAAC
rnacentral:lncRNA from 1 species